GCAGCGAGGUAUGCCAAGCCGGGCUGCAGCCACUGCUGCUCCGUGCUUGGGACAGCUCCCUCCCGGCCGGAAGGGGCUUUAUUCAGCCACUGGCCCAAGCACAGAACAGCGGCAGCUGCAGCCUGGCCGGGCUCUGGCGCCAGCAACUGAAUAAGCCCCUUCCUCCCAGGAGGGGGCUUGCCCCGAGCACAGAACAGUGGCGGGGCCGAGCCCGGCCCCACUCAGCAGCUGGAGCAGCGACCGGGGGCUGAAGAGGACAAAACUAGUUCCCAUUACAAAAGAGUGACAGAAACUCUGUAAGAAAAACCUCAUAUUCCCUUGCCCGGAGCCACUUUUCACAGGGACCAGGACUCCCUGAUGAAGAUUCCAGACGGACUCAGAAGAAACGCCGCCAGGCCUAUGGUCAGGGUGGGAGGACCGGGUUAGAGAGCUUCUGGAGGGGCUGGACAUGUUCAGAUCAGCAGGUCCAGAUGCUCUUCACCGCAGGGUGUUGAGGGAAUUGGCAGGGGUUAUCGAGGGGCCCCUGGCACGGCUUU